rnacentral:rRNA from 1 species
CUGGGGCGGUCGCCUCCUAAAAGGUAACGGAGGCGCUCAAAGGUUCCCUCAGAAUGGUUGGAAAUCAUUCAUAGAGUGUAAAGGCAUAAGGGAGCUUGACUGCGAGACCUACAAGUCGAGCAGGGUCGAAAGACGGACUUAGUGAUCCGGUGGUUCCGCAUGGAAGGGCCAUCGCUCAACGGAUAAAAGCUACCCCGGGGAUAACAGGCUUAUCUCCCCCAAGAGUUCACAUCGACGGGGAGGUUUGGCACCUCGAUGUCGGCUCAUCGCAUCCUGGGGCUGUAGUCGGUCCCAAGGGUUGGGCUGUUCGCCCAUUAAAGCGGUACGCGAGCUGGGUUCAGAACGUCGUGAGACAGUUCGGUCCCUAUCCGUCGUGGGCGUAGGAAAUUUGAGAGGAGCUGUCCUUAGUACGAGAGGACCGGGAUGGACAUACCUCUGGUGUACCAGUUGUCGUGCCAACGGCAUAGCUGGGUAGCUAUGUGUGGACGGGAUAAGUGCUGAAAGCAUCUAAGCAUGAAGCCCCCCUCAAGAUGAGAUUUCCCAACUUCG